CUCCUGCCUGCCCAGUGACACAGUGUUCAACGGCCGCGGUAUUUUGACCGCGUGAAGGUAGCGUAAUCAUUUGUCUUUUAAAUGAAGACCUGUAUGAAUGGCAUAACGAGGGCUUAACUGUCUCAUCCUCCCAGUCAAUGAAAUUGAUCUCCCCGUGCAGAAGCGGGGAUAAACACAUAAGACGAAAAGACCCUGUGGAGCUUUAGAUUACAGAGCAGCCUUAAUAAAACUUUUUAAAGCCCCUGCUCAUUUAUCUUCGGUUGGGGCGACCACGGAGAAAACUUAUCCUCCACGCUGCACAAAACACCAUGUUUCUAUAGCCAAGAGCGACAGCUCUAAGCACCAGAAUCUCUGACCCCAAAGAUCCGGACACACCGAUCAACGAACCAAGUUACCCCAGGGAUAACAGCGCAAUCCCCUUCUAGAGCCCUUAUCGACAAGGGGGUUUACGACCUCGAUGUUGGAUCAGGGCAUCCUAAUGGCGCAACCACUAUUAAGGGUUCGUUUGUUCAACGAUUAAAGCCCUACGUGAUCUG
rnacentral:rRNA from 1 species